UCCCCAGUGGCUCAGAUGGUAAAGCGCCUGCAUGCAAGGCAGGAGACCCGGGUUUGAUCCCUGGGUCAGGAA
rnacentral:tRNA from 1 species